rnacentral:lncRNA from 1 species
UGGGGGUAGGGACUGAAGAUGGUUGGUAAGAUGCUAGCGGUCUAACUCGGGUAAACAGAUCAACCUAUUGUAGUAGACUUCUAUCCGACAGGGUUUGAUGGCUACCUUAGGUUGGAUAGGAAGAGAGAGCUUUGAUGACAUUUCUAGUGAACCCAAGAAAGGUCGAAGAGGCCAGCGUAAAAACACAGAAAGGGAAGCAACUUAUCCACAAGAUUGAUGUUCAAAUAGUGGGAUUUUUUUCCUAGUAGCUAGUUUUGAGUUCUCCUAGUUCAGCUACUCGAGG